CGGCUCAGUAACACGUGGAUAACCUACCCUUGAGUUGGGAGUAAACCCGGGAAACUGGGUAUAAUACCCGAUAGAUCUCGACUGCUGGAAUGCAUCGAGAUCCAAAGCUCCGGCGCUCAAGGAUGGAUCUGCGGCCUAUCAGGUAGUAGUGGGUGUAGCGUACCUACUAGCCUACGACGGGUACGGGUUGUGAGAGCAAGAGCCCGGAGAUGGAUUCUGAGACACGAAUCCAGGCCCUACGGGGUGCAGCAGGCGCGAAAACUUUACAAUGCUGGAAACAGCGAUAAGGGGACCUCGAGUGCCAGGUUACAAAUCUGGCUGUCGUGAUGCCUAAAAAGCAUUGCAUAGCAAGGGCCGGGCAAGACCGGUGCCAGCCGCCGCGGUAACACCGGCGGCUCGAGUGGUAACCGUUAUUAUUGGGUCUAAAGGGUCUGUAGCCGGCCGGAUAAGUCUCUUGGGAAAUCUGGCAGCUUAACUGUCAGGCUUUCAGGAGAUACUGUCUGGCUCGAGGCCGGGAGAGGUGAGAGGUACUUCAGGGGUAGGGGUGAAAUCUUGUAAUCCUUGAAGGACCACCAGUGGCGAAGGCGUCUCACCAGAACGGACCUGACGGCAAGGGA
rnacentral:rRNA from 1 species